ensembl:lncRNA
AUGCCACGUUUCUGCAGCCACGUCUCAGACAGAUAUCAAAACCUUCGUCAUCUUUCUCCGAAAAUACAUACUAGCCCUUGCAGCCUAAUUUCAGUUCCCUAUUUCGUAAGGUCAGCAGAUUGUAUGUUCAAAGUCCAACUGUCCUACCUCAGAAGAUUAAUCGUCUGGUUCUCUUUUGUUAAGAACCCACAGGGGGGGGGGGGGGUUCGAAUGACUCCAAAUAACAGACGUGUGAUGGAAUAUAAACGUCUCUGAAUCAUGCUGUUUUUAGAAGUAUAAACAUUUCGUGGAAAUCUUUUAUCUUUAACUUUUCUUAUUUCCAUAUUGAUAUAGAAGUCUUCUAAGUCUAAAGUUCAGCUGAGGCCUUCAGCACAGGCUGUCCUGUACUUUUAAGCACGUAGCAAAUGCACACAUGACAGAAGUCAAAAAUUGGGUUACACCAGAAGCCAUACAGACAGACAGAAUGAAAGACAGAAUUGUAGAUAGAACAGCAGAAUGAUAGAACAAUAGAUAGAACGAUACAUUAGAUAGGUGGAUGGAUGGAUAUGAUUUGUUGAAUUUUGCACAUGACACCUUCAGUGGUUAUCAACUUAUUAGUAUUUAAUAGUAAAUAUAAUUGGCACUGAGGACUCAAAAUGUGAUGAGGCCUUUUGCAGUUUAUGUUCCACACCUUUCUGCAACUGCAUUUUGGAACAAACAGGUAUUACGGUUCAUAUUAACCCAACGUGCACCACAGUUUUUGUACCCUGGGAAAGGCCCAUCUCCCCAAGGGCUUGCUGGGCCAAUCUGGUGGUGUUGUUCCUAACCCUGGGAAUCCUUGUCCACAUUGUGCACACAGUGAGAAAGGUAAUCCGGACGGAUGGUCUCCAUGAAUCACCACCACAUUAAGAGUUUCAGCCCUCUCAUUAUCCUGUACCACAUUCCCCCCAGGGGGCCAGUACUGUGCCUGAGCCUCACCACAUACAGCCGCUCAUUACCAAUCUGCCAACCGAGGCCUGGCUCGACCAGAGUCUCUGGCCUUACACAGGUAAGGGGCCUGGUUCCUUUCUCCACCUCCAUACAACAUCCACAGACUCAAGGGUGAACAGAAACAGCAUGUCUUUCAAAGUGGCGCUGCAGGUGUCACCAUCCCAGAAUCCACCAGCAGAACCCCUCCCCUCACAUUUCCUGUCUAGAAACACAGAGGCUGAUGGGAGAGCCUGGAAUAAUGGUGUUUGCCUCGCUUGCACAUAUUCCCUCAUGAGAAUUUAUAUUCCCACAAUUUUGAGAUACUGAUAUUGGUGGGAGAGUUUGGGUUAAAUGCCACUCUACCAAUUAGGUUUUUUUUUUUCCCCUAGGAUGUUUCCCAAGGCAAGGAUGUCUGUCUGUCUGUGAUGUCUUUUAUAAAAGCCUCUUCCUGCAAAAAAAGGAAACAUAUUUCCUUUUAAUUUCUUUCUAAUGUUCCAAAGUGUUUUUCUGAGUUUGUAUUGAAACGUAGUGACAAAGUUUGAAACUAGGCUCAAUUGUAAUUUAGGAGCAGAAACGAAAACCUUUUUCUUUUAAGAAUCAGGAAAUGGUUCACUUGGUAAUAUUGCUGAAAUCAGUG